rnacentral:rRNA from 1 species
AUUGAACGCUGGCGGCAGGCUUAACACAUGCAAGUCGAGCGAGCGGCGGACGGGUGAGUAAUGUCUGGGAAACUGCCUGAUGGAGGGGGAUAACUACUGGAAACGGUAGCUAAUACCGCAUACCAUCGGAUGUGCCCACAUGGGAUUAGCUAGUAGGGGGGGUAAAGGCUCACCUAGGCGACGAUCCCUAGCUGGUCUGAGAGGAUGACCAUCACCACUUGGACUGAGACACGGUCCAGACGCCUACGGGAGUCAGCAGUGGGGAAGAUUGCACAAUGGGCGCAAGCCUGAUGCAGCCAUGCCGCGUGUAUGAAGAAGGCCUUCGGGUUGUAAAGUACUUUCAGCGUGGAGGCGUUACCCGCAGAAGAAGCACCGGCUAACUCCGUGCCAGCAGCCGCGGUAAUAC